rnacentral:lncRNA from 1 species
ACAAGUCAAUCAGCCAUCACGAAGUGCUGCUGUCAGCAAGGUCUCCAUGGCAUGCGGGAGGACACAAAGGAGAGGCAACUAAAUUAAGCUGGAGUCAAGAAUGACCAUAAUGAGGCUCCUGGGACCAACCAUAGGUUAAAGAAAAACCAUCUGGUGCUGAGAAUCCAAAGGCAGUGGGAAAAUCCUCAACAGGAACUGGAGAGGUUGGAGAAAUAAUAGAGCAGAAGCCACCUGGAAGCAGGGGCCCAAACGACAGGGCAGGUUGUUAGCUGCAUUGCACAUAGAAGGGUAGAAGAGGAAGAAUGAUUUUACUUCUUGACAAAGAAGAAGAAGGAAAGACGUCUGCAGGGUAAGCAUGUCUGAGAGUCCCUGCCACCUGCUGCCAUUCAUUUAAUCAUCCCUGGGAGCUGGACUGCAGGCCCUGUGCCAGGCUGUCAGCAGCAAAAACUGGCAAGGAGAGAGCUCACUCAGCAGCUGUUAGAUACCAGGGCCUGCCCACAAGUUACAGUGUGAACUGGGGACUGGAGGAACAGGAAUCAAUGGCUGAUCUCAGCAGUCAGCAGGAGGAAAAGUAAGGGAGAACUGAAAUGUAUGAUAUGUUUACUUUGUUAUCAGCACUGUGUCAUGCUAAGUACCUUUGAAAUGUCUCUUCUUCUCAUUCGUCGAAAUAGUCCUACUAAGUAG